GGCGGGCCCGCCUCACGGCCGCCGGGGGGCAUCCGCCCCCGAUGCUCGCUGAACACACAAACGAUGCUCGAACUCUUGUCUGAAGAUUGCAGUCUGAGUACUUGACUAAAUCAGUUAAAACUUUCAACAACGGAUCUCUUGGUUCCAUGCUCGCUGUAGAUGCUCGCGAAAUGCGAUAAGUAAUGUGAAAUGCUCGCUGAAGUGAAUCAUCGAGUCUUUGAACGCACAUUGCGCCCCCUGGUAUUCCGGGGGGCAUGCCUGUCCGAGCGUCAUUGCUGCCCUCAAGCACGAUCGCUCGUGAUAGUCGCUCGCUGCCGCUUCCGGGGGGCGGGCCCGAAAGGCAGCGGCGGCACCGCGUCCGGUCCUCGAGCGUAUGGGGCUUCGUCACCCGCUCUAUCGCUCGUAGUAGUCGCUGCCGGCGAACACCAUCAAUCUUAACCAGGUUGACCUCGGAUCAGGUAGGGAUACCCGCUGAACUUAAGCAUAUCAAUAAGCGGAGGAAUGCUCGCUGAUAGUCGUCGCUAGUAUCGCUCGUA
rnacentral:rRNA from 1 species